CAGCUUGCCACCCCAGCAGUGACCACGUUCCCAGCUGUGUAUCGUUCUUGCUUCAGCUGACAAAUGCUUUGAAACCGAUAGGUGUUGUUGCCCUUUGAAGCAAAUGUGCUCAGCAGCCUUGAUCCCUUUGUGGAACCUACAAGACACAUUCUUGCUGCGUAUCAGGACCAGAGCUGGGUAUGGUACUUUCCUCUCCGUGACAUGCCUCGUAGCACCUUCUCCCUCCUUCCAUCCGGACGUGCCGUGUCAACUUUCACCAGGAGACACUUCCCCUUACCAUCUUUAAGGCUUCUUGAGCUCUGGCCUGUGUGGAAAAAGUACACAUUGGCUGCAGCUUAGUGCCACAGCCUCCCUCCUCUUCUGGUUCCCUGUGUCCCACACUCAGCUGUCUGGUCAACCUUGUCUGCUGACUUGCCAUCUCUGCCCUGUAGGAUUCUAGAUAGAGAAAGAAGCUGCCCUGUUAUGGUAAGAAUA
rnacentral:lncRNA from 1 species